AGAGUUUGAUCAUGGCUCAGGACAAACGCUGGCGGCGUGCCUAACACAUGCAAGUCGAACGGGGCAUAGUUUUCGGAUUAUGCCGAGUGGCGGACGGGUGAGUAAGACGUGGGCGACCUGCCGCUUGGAGGGGGAUACCCCGCGGAAACGCGGGUUAAGACCGCAUACGCUGGUCUGGGUAGAUCCGGAUCAGGAAAACGCUUCGGCGUGCCAAGUGAGGGGCCUGCGGCCGAUUAGCUAGUUGGGGGGGUAACGGCCUCCCAAGGCGACGAUCGGUAGCUGGUCUGAGAGGACGAUCAGCCACACUGGGAUUGAGAACGGCCCAGACUCCUACGGGGGGCAGCAGUGAGGGAUCUUCGGCAAUGGGGGAAACCCUGCCGAGCGACGCCGCGUGCGGGACGAAGGCCUUCGGGUCGUAAACCGCUUUUCUUGGGGACGAGAAUGGACGGUACCCGAGGAAGAAGCCUCGGCUACUACGUGCCAGCAGCCGCGGUAAUACGUAGGAGGCGAGCGUUGUCCGGAGUUACUGGGCGUAAAGGGUGCGUAGGCGGCUGCGCGCGUGGAGGGUGAAAUCUCUCGGCUUACCCGGGAGGGGGCUUUCCAGACGGCGUGGCUUGAGGGACGGAGAGGGGCGUGGAAUUCCGGGUGGAGCGGUGAAAUGCGUAGAGAUCCGGAGGAACACCGACGGCGUAGGCAGCGCCCUGGCCGUUUCCUGCCUGAAGCACGAAAGCUGGGGGAGCAAACAGGAUUAGAUACCCUAGUAGUCC
rnacentral:rRNA from 1 species